CGGGUGCACUGAUCCGGCCGGGCCUUUCCCUCUGUGGAACCCCAUGGCCUUCACUGGCUGUGCGGGGGAAACAGGACUUUUACUGUGAAAAAAUUAGAGUGCUCCAGGCAGGCCUAUGCUCGAAUACAUUAGCAUGGAAUAAUAGAAUAGGACGCGUGGUUCUAUUUUGUUGGUUUCUAGGACCGCCGUAAUGAUUAAUAGGGACAGUCGGGGGCAUCAGUAUUCAAUUGUCAGAGGUGAAAUUCUUGGAUCUAUUGAAGACUAACUACUGCGAAGGCAUUUGCCAAGGAUGUUUUCAUUGAUAAGGAACGAAAGUUAGGGGAUCGAAGACGAUCAGAUACCGUCGUAGUCUUAACUAUAAACUAUGCCGACUAGGGAUCGGACGAUGUUAUUUCUUGACGCGUUCGGCACCUUUCGAGAAAUCAAAGUGCUUGGGCUCCAGGGGGAGUAUGGUCGCAAGGCUGAAACUUAAAGAAAUUGACGGAAGGGCACCACCAGGGGUGGAACCUGCGGCUUAAUUUGACUCAACACGGGGAAACUCACCAGGUCCAGACACAGUGAGGAUUGACAGAUUGAGAGCUCUUUCUUGAUUCUGUGGGUGGUGGUGCAUGGCCGUUCUUAGUUGGUGGAGUGAUUUGUCUGCUUAAUUGCGAUAACGAACGAGACCUUAACCUGCUAAAUAGCCCGUACUGCUCUGGCAGUUCGCCGGCUUCUUAGAGGGACUAUCGG
rnacentral:rRNA from 1 species